AGUGAACGCUGGCGGUAGGCCUAACACAUGCAAGUCGAACGGCAGCACAGUAAGAGCUUGCUCUUACGGGUGGCGAGUGGCGGACGGGUGAGGAAUACAUCGGAAUCUACUUUUUCGUGGGGACCACGGAGGGGAACUUACGCCAAUUCCCCCUUCGGGCUACCGGUUAAAACAAGGGAUUUUCGGACCUUGCGCGGUUGAAUGAGCCGAUGUCGGAUUAGCUAGUUGGCGGGGUAAAGGCCCACCAAGGCGACGAUCCGUAGCUGGUCUGAGAGGAUGAUCAGCCACACUGGAACUGAGACACGGUCCAGACUCCUACGGGAGGCAGCAGUGGGGAAUAUUGGACAAUGGGCGCAAGCCUGAUCCAGCCAUACCGCGUGGGUGAAGAAGGCCUUCGGGUUGUAAAGCCCUUUUGUUGGGAAAGAAAAGCAGCAGGUUAAUACCCCGCUGUUCUGACGGUACCCAAAGAAUAAGCACCGGCUAACUUCGUG
rnacentral:rRNA from 1 species